UACGAAGGGGGCGAGCGGUGACCGGAUUUAUUGGGCGUAAAGAGCUCGUAGGCGGCUCACUAAGUCGGGUGUGAAACCUCCAGGCUCAACCUGGAGACGCCACCCGAUACUGGUGUGGCUAGGGUCCGGUAGGGGAGCAUGGAAUUCCUGGUGUAGCGGUGAAAUGCGCAGAUAUCAGGAGGAACACCAGUGGCGAAGGCGGUGCUCUGGGCCGGAACUGACGCUGAGGAGCGAAAGCAUGGGGAGCAAACAGG
rnacentral:rRNA from 1 species